rnacentral:rRNA from 1 species
CAUGCAGUCGAGCGGACAGAAGGGAGCUUGCUCCCGGAUGUUAGCGGCGGACGGGUGAGUAACACGUGGGUAACCUGCCUGUAAGACUGGGAUAACUCCGGGAAACCGGAGCUAAUACCGGAUAGUUCCUUGAACCGCAUGGUUCAAGGAUGAAAGACGGUUUCGGCUGUCACUUACAGAUGGACCCGCGGCGCAUUAGCUAGUUGGUGGGGUAAUGGCUCACCGGGGCGACUAUGCGUAGCCGACCUGAGAAACUUGAGUGCAGAAGAGGAGAGUGGAACUUCCACGUGUAGCGGUGAAAUGCGUAGAGAUGUGGAGGAACACCAGUGGCGAAGGGUGACUCUCUGGUCUGUAACUGACGCUGAGGAGCGAAAGCGUGGGGAGCGAACAGGAUUAGAUACCGUGGUAGUCCCACGCCGUAAACGAUGAGUGCUAAGUGUUAGGGGGUCUCCGCCCUUUAGUGCUGCAGCUAACGCAUUAAGCACUCCGCCUGGGGAGUACGGUCGCAAGACUGAAACUCAAAGGAAUUGACGGGGGCCCGCACAAGCGGUGGAGCAUGUGGUUUAAUUCGAAGCAACGCGAAGAACCUUACCAGGUCUUGACAUCCUCUGACAACCCUAGAGAUAGGGCUUUCCCUUCGGGGACAGAGUGACAGGUGGUGCAUGGUUGUCGUCAGCUCGUGUCGUGAGAUGUUGGGUUAAGUCCCGCAACGAGCGCAACCCUUGAUCUUAGUUGCCAGCAUUCAGUUGGGCACUCUAAGGUGACUGCCGGUGACAAACCGGAGGAAGGUGGGGAUGACGUCAAAUCAUCAUGCCCCUUAUGACCUGGGCUACACACGUGCUACAAUGGACAGAACAAAGGGCUGCAAGACCGCAAGGUUUAGCCAAUCCCAUAAAUCUGUUCUCAGUUCGGAUCGCAGUCUGCAACUCGACUGCGUGAAGCUGGAAUCGCUAGUAAUCGCGGAUCAGCAUGCCGCGGUGAAUACGUUCCCGGGCCUUGUACACACCGCCCGUCACACCACGAGAGUUUGCAACACCCGAAGUCGGUGAGGUAACCUUUAUGGAGCCAGCCGCC